rnacentral:rRNA from 1 species
AAAGAUUAAGCCAUGCAUGUCUAAGUAUACGCAAAUUAUACUGUGAAACUGCGAAUGGCUCAUUAAAUCAGUUAUAGUUUAUUUGAUGUUUCUUGCUACAUGGAUAACUGUGGUAAUUCUAGAGCUAAUACAUGCGUAAAAAGCCCCGACUUCUGGAAGGGGUGUAUUUAUUAGAUAAAAACCAUCCUCCUCGGAGUUUGGUGAUUCAUAAUAACUUCUCGAAUCGCACGGCCCUGUGCUGGCGAUGGUUCAUUCAAAUUUCUGCCCUAUCAACUUUCGAUAGUAAGGUAUUGGCUUACCAUGGUUU